UGAAAUGCGAUACGUAAUGUGAAUUGCAUCACUUUGUGAAUCAUCAAAUCUUUGAACGCAACUGGCACUCUUUGGCUUGCUAAAGAGUAUACCUGUUUGAGAAUCAUAAAUAUCAACUUGACUUGAGUUCGAGUCAAAAUUGAGAUUUACAUUCGGGAAACCGGAUGAAUCUUGAAUUAUAGAGGAAUUCAGGCUUCGGUGUGACCGACUAUACUGAACAUUGUGGGAUACGAAACUACGGAAUAGAUAUUCUGUGGAUCGAAUUUCAUCAUCACAAUGAGUUCAUGUAUGAAUGGUGUGAUCGUUGCAAUUAACUGAGUACCUUUCUCAAAUUUUACAAGAGGAUGGGUUGAAUAAACUUGUUCUCUUCAAUAUUUGAUCUCAAAUCAGGCAAGACUAC
rnacentral:misc_RNA from 1 species